GCGGCAGGCCUAAUACAUGCAAGUCGAGGGGUAACAGGAAGUGCUUGCACUUCGCUGACGACCGGCGCACGGGUGAGUAUCGCGUAUACAAUCUGCCUCAUACUAGGGAAUAGCCCGAAGAAAUUUGGAUUAAUGCCCUAUAGUAUCUUUUUAAGGCAUCUUAUUAAGAUUAAAGGUUACGGUAUGAGAUGAGUAUGCGUUCUAUUAGCUAGUAGGUGUGGUAACGGCACACCUAGGCUACGAUAGAUAGGGGCCCUGAGAGGGGGAUCCCCCACACUGGUACUGAGACACGGACCAGACUCCUACGGGAGGCAGCAGUAAGGAAUAUUGGUCAAUGGACGAAAGUCUGAACCAGCCAUGCCGCGUGCAGGAUGACUGCCCUAUGGGUUGUAAACUGCUUUUAUAUAGGAAGAAAAACUUUCUCGUGAGAAAGCUUGACGGUACUAUAAGAAUAAGGAUCGG
rnacentral:rRNA from 1 species